rnacentral:lncRNA from 1 species
CCCCAUCAGUCUCCCUCUUCUCUUCUGCCCUCCCUGUGUCUCUUUACCUCUUUUCUCUUUCCUUCCCCCUCUCUCCCCUAUCUAAUAAAACUUUUCACUUAAGCUCUGUCGGUCUGUCGUAUUUGUCCCCCUUGGUCACCCUCGCCUGCCUGGAAUCCGCCAUGGUCCCCUUCGCAGGCCCCCCUUCCAGCUUUAUCCUACCAUUUAAACAAAAGAACAACAAUGAGGUCUCUUCCUCUUGACAGGAAGGGCUCAUGAGGACUGAUGCUGGUGGUUCUCCAGUGGAUAUACAGGCUUCAACUGACUGCUUAGCAGACCCAGGAGUACCCCAACCCUGCUGAUCCUGGGAAAUGCUACAUCUGCCAAACUGCACCAAGUCCUAGGCUCUUGGGGCCAAUUCAGCUCUCAGGCAUAUCGUGCUGGUCAGAAACCACACAGUGGAGUUCAGAGAGGUUUGGUUCGACUGGCCCCAAACUGCACACCUAGUAGGGACAGAGCACAAACCAAAUACCAGUCCUGGCUUCAGCUGAGAAGUACCGCUGUCAAGGAUUGAACUUUCAGUAAGAGCUCUUCCAAGCAUGGCUGUGAUAACUCAUUCAACCCCCGAAGGCAUCCCACAGGUGAACUGACUCACUGAGGAAUACAGGAAGCAAUCACAACAUCAACUGGAUAAGCAGAUAGUGCUUCUCAUUGUCCUGGAGCUUUAAGAUUGGGCUCAGCUGACCAGCCAUCAAGUCUCAGGAAUCUGUCUGUUUCUGCCUCCCCAGGACUGGGAUGAUGAGCACUCAUCAUCAAUACCAGCAUUUUACAGUAAACAACACCUUGAUAAAAUCACUGUGUUUGAGUCUGCAUCUGAGGAUGCAGAAGAUCUGGAGAGAGACAGCACUGAAACUCCCAAACUCUACAAGUUCAAACUGUGAGACUGUUGGGAACUGACCAUCCUUUGGAGAUACAGGGACCAUCAGUGGAUGUCAAGGCACUCUGGACAGCAGGAAGUUGCUACUGUGUCCACCUGAAGGGAAAGUGGUACCAAUGGAACCGAGGACUGUGUACACAGGAGCUGUGAAUUAUGCUUUUCUAUCUGUUUUACUCAGAACCAGAUGAGGAGAACAUUAACUUAUUUUAAAUUUAAAAAUAAAGUCUUCAAAAAGGCUGGGGACACUAUUCAAUGGUAACUCGAUUGCCUAGCCCUUGCAAAACCCUCAGCUUGGUCUCUGUUAAGUCUCAGGUCCUGGGACAAAUGGCGGAGGCUGCCUCUGCCUGUGCUUUCCCUUUUAUCUAUCACAAAAUUUCUCCUCCACCAUACCUAGGAAUAGACAUGUCUUUCUCUUUUAUUUCUUUUUUUCAGUCAGUCUCCAGCACCAGAACAAAACAAAUGAAACACAAAAGUCAAAACCCAAAUAAAAAUAAAAAGGGAGAAAACAGUAAUUUUUUGUUUGUUUGUUUGUUUGUUUUUUUGUUUUUUGAGACAGGGUUUCUCUGUGUAGCCCUGACUGUCCUAG